AUCCAUCUGAAGUUUUAACCGGCGGCUUACAAGGGAAGAGAGUUUUUCCGUUUUGAACAACGUUCCUGUCGGUCAAUCCAAGAGCUUACUUACCUGGACCCGAACCUCGGGUAGGUUAACCUUGCCGGCCAGCUCUUCGCGGCUGUACACGUCGGGGUAGUGGGACUUCUCGAAGGCGCGCUCCAGCUCGUGCAGUUGGUAAGUGGUGAACGUCGUGCGGUUGCGUCGAUGCUUCUUCUUGGGAGGUUCCUCCUCCGACAGCUUCGAGUCGCCUGCUGCUGGCCCAACCGAGAGUCCUGGGCUCGGACGUGCUUCUCCUUGCUCCUUGGGGUAGCAGGGCCUAGUAGCUGGGGGCAGCGAAGCUCCAAGCCGUCAGUGACACUCUUGGCGGAGGCGAAGCGACCUCUCUACGGCCCUAGGCGACCCGGUGCCGCCUGAGCUGGUCUAAGGAGGUCCGCGAUGGGGACCUAUGUGGGGUCACUAGAAUUUCUCUAACCUCAAGUCGGGCAAACCCCAAACCAACGACCUAAAGGUAAAGGAGGAGAAGCUCCGGUCUUGCAGAGCACCCCAGGGACUUUGCAGCCUUGCUGAGCACUCACCUUCGUACUCCGGGACGAAUCCCGGGGCUGCUGGUGGGGAAGACUCGGAGCCUCCGGCUGGCGCCUUGGGGCAGGCAGGCUGCGCGCCCAGCCUGGGAUCCCGCUCUUUCGAGCUCCUGGAGCUCCUCUCUGCAGGAAAGGUGUCUAGGAUGCCGUCUUCCUUGGUAAAGCCCAGGAUGGCUUCGAUGCUGUGCAAACGCGACGUGCUCCCGCCCGGGCUGCGGAGCAGGUGGCCAGCGAGCGAGAAGCUCCCGUCCGCCAUGGCUGGCGCGCAGCCCGGCAGGUGCAUGGAGAGGAGGGAGUGCACUUUGCAAACUGGAG
rnacentral:lncRNA from 1 species